GAGUUUGAUUCUGGCUCAGAUUGAACGCUGGCGGCAUGCUUUACACAUGCAAGUCGAACGGCAGCACGACGUGUAGCAAUACACGUUGGUGGCGAGUGGCGAACGGGUGAGUAAUACAUCGGAACGUGUCCUGUAGUGGGGGAUAACCAAUCGAAAGAUUGGCUAAUACCGCAUACGAUCUACGGAUGAAAGCGGGGGAUCGCAAGACCUCGCGCUAUAGGAGCGGCCGAUGUCCGAUUAGCUUGUUGGCGGGGUAACGGCCCACCAAGGCGACGAUCGGUAGCUGGUCUGAGAGGAUGAUCAGCCACACUGGAACUGAGACACGGUCCAGACUCCUACGGGAGGCAGCAGUGGGGAAUUUUGGACAAUGGGCGCAAGCCUGAUCCAGCCAUGCCGCGUGAGUGAAGAAGGCCUUCGGGUUGUAAAGCUCUUUCGACGGGGACGAAACGGUCUGUGCCAACACCACGGACUAAUGACGGUACUCGCAGAAGAAGCACCGGCUAACUACGUGCCAGCAGCCGCGGUAAUACGUAGGGUGCAGGCGUUAAUCGGAAUUACUGGGCGUAAAGCGUGCGCAGGCGGCUCCUUAAGUCAGAUGUGAAAGCCCCGGGCUUAACCUGGGAACUGCGUUUGAUACUGAGGGGCUAGAGUGUGGAAGAGGGGGGUGGAAUUCCAGGUGUAGCAGUGAAAUGCGUAGAGAUCUGGAGGAACACCGAUGGCGAAGGCAGCCCCCUGGGCUAACACUGACGCUCAUGCACGAAAGCGUGGGGAGCAAACAGGAUUAGAUACCCUGGUAAUCCACGCCCCAAACGAUGUCAAUUGGUUGUCGGGGAAGUAAUUCCUUGGUAACGAAGCUAACGCGUGAAGUUGACCGCCUGGGGAGUACGGCCGCAAGGCUAAAACUCAAAGGAAUUGACGGGGACCCGCACAAGCGGUGGAUUAUGUGGAUUAAUUCGAUGCAACGCGAAAAACCUUACCUACCCUUGACAUGUGCGGAACGGGGUAGAGAUACCUCGGUGCCCGAAAGGGAACCGCAACACAGGUGCUGCAUGGCUGUCGUCAGCUCGUGUCGUGAGAUGUUGGGUUAAGUCCCGCAACGAGCGCAACCCUUGCCAUUAGUUGCUACAUUCAGUUGGGCACUCUAAUGGGACUGCCGGUGACAAACCGGAGGAAGGUGGGGAUGACGUCAAGUCCUCAUGGCCCUUAUGGGUAGGGCUUCACACGUAAUACAAUGGCCGGUACAGAGGGCUGCCAACCCGCGAGGGGGAGCAAAUCCCAGAAAGCCGGUCGUAGUCCGGAUUGUUCUCUGCAACUCGAGAGCAUGAAGUCGGAAUCGCUAGUAAUCGCGGAUCAGCAUGUCGCGGUGAAUACGUUCCCGGGUCUUGUACACACCGCCCGUCACACCAUGGGAGUGGGUUUCACCAGAAGUAGUUAGCCUAACCGCAAGGAGGGCGACUACCACGGUGAGAUUCAUGACUGGGGUGAAGUCGUAACAAGGUAGCC
rnacentral:rRNA from 1 species